rnacentral:lncRNA from 1 species
AGCUGCGGCUGGGUGCAGCGGAAGGUGUCUACGGAUGAGAUAGGUCGCUCCCGCGAUGGAGGGAUGUGCGGGCGGGCUAGGAUUCCGUGGUUAAGCCUGUGGCCUCUGGAGCCGCGAGUUUGAAUCCUGGUUGCAGCUGUUCCACUUACUAGCUCUGUGGCCAUGGGUAAGGUGCCCAUCCUCAGUUUCUCCGUCUGCAAAAUGAAAGCGAAUUCUUAGUGUUGUUGUGGACUCAUGAGAUGAUGCAUGGAAGCAAGGGCGAAGUCGCUGUAGCUUUCUUUAUUUAUGAGAGAAAAGGAGCUGCCCAGGUGAGAGGACAAAAACCCGAGAAAACAGACCCGGAAAAGAUGGUUUUGGUUGCGGGCUAGGAAGGAGAUGUAGCAGAUGAAGCUGGAGAAGUCCGAAGGAGGCCUUAAAUUUUGCAGGGCCUCCUUGGUGUGGGAAGGAGUUUGGUUUCUGCAGUGGUGAAGAACCAUGGAAGUACCGUAUUUAGCAGGGGAUUUUGUGCAGGUCACUCAGCUCCUGCGUGGAGAAUAAGGCGGGGAUGGAUGUGCUAAAGGCAGAUCGAUGCUUAGGUAUUGCAGGACUAGAGAGAAGGGAAUGGGCACCUGGAUGAAAGGGUGAUGCGGGGGCGGGGGUAGACAAUAGUGGAUUGUUUUAAAAGAAAUUGUGAGGGAGAGGGAGUUAAGGAUAAAUAUUCUGUUUGAGUAACUGCAUGCAUGUUUGCACCUUUCAGGGAGAGCUAGGAAAUGCUGAAGGGGUGGGCAGUAGAGAGGCAGAUGUUUAGAUUCAGACAGGCUCCCAACCCAGUGAAGAUCAAAGCUGUGAUAGAAAGGAUCGCUGGGUCAGCUCAGCUGGCAGGCCAAGCCCCACGGUAUCUGAAGUUUCCCUGGAGGUUGCUCAGGGCACAUGGGAGUGUGGAAUGUAGCAACCAUUUUGUGCAAACGUUAGGGACUCCAUAAGCCUCUAAAAAAUUAGCAAUUGUAUGAGGACUCCGGACCAGAAGAAUGUGGCUAGCAUUCCAGGCAAGACAGGAUGGAAUUUUCACUGUCCUUCAACCAACUGAAAGGCUCCAAUAAAGUCUUGGGUAUUUACCCUGAACCAGC